UAAACAGCCGUUGCUCGGCUGAAGGACCGCAUAUGAAAUCGUGUGGAAAUACCCCGUGUACUGUUCGACUGCACAAUGCUGUAGAACGAGUCGCUAAAAAGGACUAGUCACUCCUGAGUCGGUAAAAAGUUGUUAAAAAAGAACACAUAUUUCGCGAACUACAUAUCACUACUGAGAUCAGAACUGCGGAGCUUGCUGGCUGCUUCUUCAGGAACCUUGUGAGGAUCUCCACCACAUUAUUUCGCCGGGUCACCACGUCAAUCCACAGCUUGUGUAAAGGCAGUUCCAGCAGCUCUUCUCUUUAAGCAUAUGGUUGGCCGUGGCGCUACGGUGAAAUGAAGUUUGCAAUGUACCCCACCCAAACAAGCAACGACGCAAUCGCUGGAAGUUUGAGAGCAGUCUGCCGAGGUAUUGACUUCAGCUGGAAGAUGGCCAACCACUCAGAGGAUGUCAAGAAGACUAUUCUAAAUAAUCAUGUUGGAUAUGGAGUUGUUCCUCAACCCCCAUUGGAAGCCCGCUUACAUCAAGAGCAACAAGAUGGACUAUAUAAAGAUGAAAGCUGCAGCCGAAGUUCAGGGACUCCUGCCAGAGCAGUUGCCAUCCAUGGGAGACAGAUGGAUCACAAACAGCAGAAGAACAAACAGGAACCAAAGAGAGGAGCAGCUGCACCCAGCCUAGUGGAAUCAAAGAAGACGAGGAGGACACUGAAGGUUUUGCGGGAAGAACAAACAGGCACCCCCGGCUGGCCUGUCUGACAGAGGAGCCACUGAGGCCAUGCUGAAGAGCUAACCGCAGACUGUCGAUACUGAUGCAGUCCGUGAAGUUCACUUCUUAGGAGUGUCCGAGUUAGCCAAUAAAUUCUUCUGCAUUCCUGCCACAUGUGCUCCUUCAGAAAGAGCCCUGGAGGGAAUGUGGUGACAGGUCACAGUGGAACACUGAAGACUGUGGAUGGGCAUUAUGUCCUUGCCCAUAACCUGUGAAACAAUGGGUAGGACAGUAUUGUGUUCCUUUUUUUACUUAGUUCAAAAUACUAUUUGAGAACCUGUGAUCUGGCCCUACUUGACUUGAACAUGUUCAAUAUAGUUGGUUGAAUAUUUCAC
ensembl:lncRNA